UUGAAAUAGAUCUGCUUAUUCACUAGGGACAAAAGAACCAUGUUUAGAUUUUUUUCUGCUUUACGGUAUAAUAAGUAAUAUGUAAGGGUAAACAGUAAUUAUUUGUACUUUAUUUUGUUCACAUUUUUAAAACUUUCUAUUCUACUACAGUUGUCUGACUGCUUUAUUUAUCAGUUACUUUUCAGGAUCAUACCUUUCUGUCCAGUUAAAACCACAUAUACUAUGCCCCCGUGUGAUUUUUAACUUGAUAUCUUCCUGAUAAACUACACCUACAGGAGAUGCUUUGCCAUGGAAACCCAUAUCAAGAAGUGCCUGGUGUUAUGUUAAUGCGAGAGGAGUUUUGGAGUUCUGAAACCUAUGAUUCAGCAGAGCGUUGGCAACUUUUAGGGACCAUGUGCCUCAGGUCUCAGCAACCCCGAUCCUGAAAACUCAGCAAACCGGUCCAGAAGACCAACAUCCAGCUGGUAGAAAGCCUGAACUGUGAAGUCCAUUAAUUUCAGUUUCACCAAACAAUUUUGUACGGGAUGUUCCCACACUGAAGUGCAACUUUUAUUAGGAAAAUAUAACAAUUCAGUGCAAUUUUUACAAACAAAAAUACAACUGGCAGUAAAGCUGGCACCAGGUGUAAGUGCACUUGUGUGUGUGUGUGUGUGUUUUAUUCAAACUACUACUAUGCCAGCACUACUAAGAGCAUGAACAGUUUCCUGCGUGUGGUUAUGGCUCCAUCAGUGCAUUUCUUUAUCUUAUUGCCAUUAACAAUACACAAAAAAUCCCCACAAAAAAGCCAAAUCCCAAAGGAUUUUAUGGCAAGCUGUA